rnacentral:rRNA from 1 species
UACGUAGGGGGCUAGCGUUGUCCGGAAUCAUUGGGCGUAAAGCGCGUGUAGGCGGUCCGGUAAGUCUGUUGUGAAAUCCCCGGGCUCAACCUGGGAAUGGCAAUGGAUACUGGCAAGCUAGAGUGUGUCAGAGGAUGGUGGAAUUCCCGGUGUAGCGGUGAAAUGCGUAGAGAUCGGGAGGAACAUCAGUGGCGAAGGCGGCCAUCUGGGACAACACUGACGCUGAGGCACGAAAGCGUGGGGAGCAAACAGG